rnacentral:RNase_P_RNA from 1 species
AGUGUCGGUCGGAUCAUCGCUCUGCCACUAAGGGCAGGGAGGAAAGUCCGAACUCCAGAGGGCACCGCACUUCCUAACGGGAAGGCAUCGCAUGGCGAUGACGGCAAGUGCAACAGAAAACAGACCAGCCGAUGGGUUCAGCAAUGAGCCACAGGUGAUGGAUGAAACGGUGAGGGUAAGAGCCCACCAGCAUUCCGGGUGACCGGGGUGGCUAGGUAAACCCUGCGGGGAGCAAGGUCAAGCAGCAUCGUGUGCCCGAUUGGGCACAUCGGCGGCCCGUCGAAUCACCGAUGCGGGUAGACCGCUAGAGGUCGUCGGUGACGGCGGUCCCAGACAGAUGAUGAUCUCCUCGGCCAGCUGCCUUGCAGCGGUGGCUUCCGGGUAGACAGAAUUCGGCUUACAGGUCGGCACACGCU